rnacentral:rRNA from 1 species
UACGGAGGGUGCAAGCGUUAUCCGGAAUCACUGGGCGUAAAGGGCGCGUAGGUGGUCUGUUAAGUCUGGCGUUAAAGCCUGGGGCUCAACCCCAGAUCAGCGCUGGAUACUGGCAGGCUAGACGGUUGGAGAGGCGAGUGGAAUUACCAGUGUAGCGGUGGAAUGCGUAGAUACUGGUAGGAACACCCAUUGCGAAGGCAGCUCGCUGGACAACACGUGACGCUGAGGCGCGAAAGUGUGGGGAGCAAACCGGAUUAGAUACCCCCGUA